UACGUAGGGAGCAAGCGUUGUUCGGAAUUACUGGGCGUAAAGCGCACGUAGGCGGAUUUGUUAGUCAGGGGUGAAAUCCCGAGGCUCAACCUCGGAACUGCCUUUGAUACUGCAAAUCUCGAGUCCGGAAGAGGUGAGUGGAAUUCCUAGUGUAGAGGUGAAAUUCGUAGAUAUUAGGAAGAACACCAGUGGCGAAGGCGGCUCACUGGUCCGGUACUGACGCUGAGGUGCGAAAGCGUGGGGAGCAAACAGG
rnacentral:rRNA from 1 species